rnacentral:lncRNA from 1 species
UGAAUGCUGGCAUACUAGAGUAUUGCUGAACAUGAACCAAGACACACGUACACCGCACUGAUCUAUGUCUAGGGAUUAAUGUCAGUGCUCCCAGGAAUGCAGCUAACCAAUCACCCCAACGCAGAGAACCCGGUAGUCAGGACUAGGCGAGAGCUGCGUGCAGGGCUCCUGCAGGGCUCGAAGCAGUCACCACCCUCCUCUUCCCAGGGAUGGGCAGCGCCCCCUCCGCACGCUCCAUUCCCAAGGCUGGGCACCGAGGAGCAUAGACACCGGUCACUCUGCGCCCGAGGAGGGAUGAAAGCCGGUAGCGCGCGGGCGACCGGGAGCGGAGCGCCGCCGCCGGGUGCCCUCCUGCGCUGCUCCGGAC